rnacentral:lncRNA from 1 species
AUGUCUAUUUGGGUCCUCUCUUUGUUUUUAAAUUUUAAAAAAUUAAUUUUUAUCAUACUUUACAAAUACAUAUGGUUCUAUAAGAUUUUCAGUGAAAAUGAAUUAUCUCUUCCCCCACCUUUCUCCACCCAUCGCCCACUUCUAAGAGUCAAGCACUAUUGAUUUUAUUGUUUUUUUUUUUUUUUUUUUUCUGGGCUUUAUCUCUUUAUUUUAAAUCAAUCCCCCACUUCCGAUAACCAAUCUCAAGUCCAGGUUACCACCUGUGCUUCUGACCUACUGACUAUAGAUUGGAGGUUACAACUACCCCUCUUUGGGUUUGAUUAAUUUGCUAGAGUGGCCCACAGAACUCAGAAACAUUUUACUUACUAGAUUACUGGUUUACUAUAAAGGUUAUAACUCAGGAACAGCCAGAUGGAAGAGAUGCAUAGGACAAGGUAUGGGGAGAGGGGCACAGAGCUUCUAUACUCUCUGAGCGCAUCACUCCUCCCACAUCUCCACAUGUUCACCAACCGGAAGCUCUCAGAACUGCCCUUUUGUGUUCUUUUUUUUUUUUUUUAAGGUUUUAUUUAUUUAUUCAUGAGAGACAUAGAGAGGCAGAGACACAGGCAGAGGGAGAAGCAGGCUCCACACAGGAAGCCCGAUGUGGGACUCAAUCCUGGGACCCUGGGAUCACGCCCUGAGUCAAAGGCAGAGAGGCUCAACCGCUGAGCUACCCAAGUGUCCCUGAGCCACCCAGAUGUCCCGCCCUUUUGUGUUCUUAUGGAGGCUUCAUUACAUAGAUAUGAUUGAUGAAAUAAAUCAUUGGUCAUUGGUGACUAGACACUGAUCUCCAGCCCCACUUCCCUCCCCAGAGAUUAGGGGGGUAGGACUGAAAGUUCCACUACUCUAAUCACGUGAUUGGCUCCAGAGGCACCCAGCCCCCAUCCUUAGGUGCUUUCCAAAAGCCACCUCAUUAGCAUAACAGAUGACAUCUCUAUUUUUCUCCUCACAGGAGAUUCCAAGUGUUUGAGGAACUCUGUGCCAGGACUGAGAUGAAGACCAAAUAUAUAUUUCUAAUAAGAAAUAAGAAUAAAUA